rnacentral:rRNA from 1 species
AUGAACGCUAGCGACAGGCUAACACAUGCAAGUCGAGGGGUAACAGGGUAGCAAUACCGCUGACGACCGGCGCACGGGUGAGUAACGCGUAUGCAACCUGCCUAUAACUGGGGAAUAGCUCCCUGAAAGGGGAAUUAACACCGCAUAACACUAUUGAUUCGCAUGGAUUAGUAGUUAAAUGUAGCGAUACAGGUUAUAGAUGGGCAUGCGUGACAUUAGCUAGUUGGUGAGGUAACGGCUCACCAAGGCUACGAUGUCUAGGGGUUCUGAGAGGAAGGUCCCCCACACUGGUACUGAGACACGGACCAGACUCCUACGGGAGGCAGCAGUGAGGAAUAUUGGUCAAUGGGCGCAAGCCUGAACCAGCCAUGUCGCGUGCAGGAAGACUCGCCCUAUGGGUUGUAAACUGCUUUUAUAGUAGAAGAAACACAUCUACGAGUAGAUGUCUGCCAGUAUACUAUGAAUAAGCAUCGGCUAACUCCGUGCCAGCCGCAGC